GGGUCCGAGUUGUAAUUUGUAGAGGAUGCUUUUGGCGCGGUGCCUUCCGAGUUCCCUGGAACGGGACGCCUUAGAGGGUGAGAGCCCCGUACGGUUGGACACCAAGCCUCUGUAAAGCUCCUUCGACGAGUCGAGUAGUUUGGGAAUGCUGCUCUAAAUGGGAGGUAAAUUUCUUCUAAAGCUAAAUAUUGGCCAGAGACCGAUAGCGCACAAGUAGAGUGAUCGAAAGAUGAAAAGCACUUUGAAAAGAGGGUUAAAUAGCACGUGAAAUUGUUGAAAGGGAAGCGUUUGCGACCAGACCUUUUCCUGGCGGAUCAUCCGGUGUUCUCACCGGUGCACUUCGCCAGGUCGAGGCCAGCAUCGGUUUCCGCGGGGGGAUAAAAGCUCUGGGAACGUAGCUCCUCCGGGAGUGUUAUAGCCCUCUGCACAAUACCCCCGCGGGGACCGAGGACCGCGCUCUAAGCAAGGAUGCUGGCGUAAUGGUUGUCAACGACCCGUCUUGAAACACGGACCAAGGAGUCGAACAUUUGUGCGAGUGUUUGGGUGUCAAACCCUCACGCGUAAUGAAGGUGAACGUAGGUGAGAGCCCUUACGGGUGCAUCAUCGACCGAUCCUGAUGUCUUCGGAUGGAUUUGAGUAAGAGCAUAACUGUUCGGACCCGAAAGAUGGUGAACUAUGCGUGGAUAGGGUGAAGCCAGAGGAAACUCUGGUGGAGGCUCGCAGCGGUUCUGACGUGCAAAUCGAUCGUCAAAUCUGCGCAUGGGGGCGAAAGACUUAUCGAACCAUCUAGUAGCUGGUUACCGCCGAAGUUUCCCUCAGGAUAGCAGUGUUGUUCUUCAGUUUUAUGAGGUAAAGCGAAUGAUUAGGGACUCGGGGGCGCUUUUUUGCCUUCAUCCAUUCUCAAACUUUAAAUAUGUAAGAAGCCCUUGUUACUUAAUUGAACGUGGGCAUUCGAAUGUACCAACACUAGUGGGCCAUUUUUGGUAAGCAGAACUGGCGAUGCGGGAUGAACCGAACGCGGGGUUAAGGUGCCGGAGUGGACGCUCAUCAGACACCACAAAAGGUGUUAGCACAUUUAGACAAUAGGACGGUGGCCAUGGAAGUCGGAAUCCGCUAAGGACUGUGUAACAACUCACCUAUCGAAUGUGCUAGCCC
rnacentral:rRNA from 1 species